rnacentral:rRNA from 2 species
CACGCAGGCGGUCGGAUAAGUCAGAUGUGAAAGCCCCGGGCUCAACCUGGGAACUGCAUUUGAAACUGUCCGACUAGAGUCUUGUAGAGGGGGGUAGAAUUCCAGGUGUAGCGGUGAAAUGCGUAGAGAUCUGGAGGAAUACCGGUGGCGAAGGCGGCCCCCUGGACAAAGACUGACGCUCAGGUGCGAAAGCGUGGGGAGCAAACA